UGAACCCGUGGAAGUACAUCAACGGAGCCAUUCUACCUGGUAAGUAUCCUCCAGGGUUUUUCCAGAUCGUUUUGCCUUCAACAACCAAGUCCUUGAGAGCAGGAUCACAGUGGAUGAAGUAGAGGUUGUACAUUCCUGUCCUAGUGAUCUGAAUCGAUCUUGUAAGCAGCGUAGCAGACAAAUCGUUCUCAAGAAACGAAACACCAAAGACUUGAGGCCAGGAGGAGUCUUUAGAAGAAGGAUGGUGGAUGAUCUCUCCGUGUGAGCAAACACCGAGUUUGGCGAGAUCAGAUGUGCAGCAGACAGCUCUCUGUCCGCCGUAAGCUGAUCCUCCGAUGUUCUCCCUGUCUUCUACCUCGAAAAGGACGGCGUGGAUUGGUAAUGAGGAGGUGUUGGAAGCUUCCUCAGGUCUCCGGAAUGUGAUCUUCUCGAAACUGUUAAAUGCAUUCAAAGUAAGAGACUUUCAGAGAGAAGCAGCUACGAUGAUACUCAAAACACAAGGAAAGUUCAAAACUUGACACGUGGAAGCAAUGCUUACUCAGAGAGGACACACACAGAGUUUACUAUGUACAUGAUUCGAUUCAGAGAGGAUACACACAGAGUUUCAAAGUAAGAUGUUACUCAAACACAAUGAAAGUUACACUCUUUGACACGUGGAAGCAAUGUGCAUGAUUCAGAGAGGACACACACAGAGUUUCAAAGUAAGAAACUUUCACAGAGAAAACAGCUAAGAUGUUACUCAAACACAAUGAAAGUUCAACUCUUUGACACGUGGAAGCAAUGUUCAGUACAAACAGCGUUUCAAAGUAAGAAACUUUCACAGAGAAACAGCUAAGAACUGUAAAUAAACGAACUAAAUCAGCUCUAAGAUCCAACUCGUAGACGAAGAAUCCUAAUGGGUUCUGAUUAAAAAGUCAGAUCCUAAGCAGAUUUAAAAGAGGAAACUUUAGUUAAAGAAAUGGAAACAGACAAGUUUACCGGAUAAAGGAGGAGAGGGAAUCAGAGUCGGAGGUGAAGUUGUCGGAGGGAGAAGAGGAGUAGAUGCCUUCGCUGCCGCCGUGGAAGACAAAGGCGUUGCCUUUCGACAUGAAUCUCUCGCUUCGGUACUCAUGCACCGACGCUUGUAGCAAAGAAGGCGUCAGGGAUAGUAGCGAAAGAAGGAGAAGAAGAUGAAGCGACAUUGAAACCGAGGAGAAGAAGCAGAGAUCUGAAGAGGAGAAAAAGCUGAUGACUGUAAGGACGUCAGUGAGAAACUGAGAUGUGUCAAAUGAGUUUUGAUCGUACGGCUGUCAAUAGGUUGCCCCUUUGAUCGUUUCUAGAUGUUGGAAGGUUCUACUGAAAUGGUUGAACCUAUAAGCCUCUGGUUUAGUCAGAGGGUUCAGCCGACAACUAUAUCCUCGAUUUUAUAAUGGGCCUUUUGUGGGCCUUUUAACUGUGUUUUGAAAUAUAUGGUCCAUGAAAACUGGAUUUCAUAUUUAGGAGAUGAACCUAGAAGUAGUCGUGUUGGAAGUUAAGCUCAUAAAAUGAAAACUGGCCGAUUCUAAAACUGUUAUCACAAACAAAAAGCCAUAUAAUUUUUUUUGUAACAUGAAGAUUCUAUCCUAGGCAGAAAUCUUUAAUCUCAAACUCAAAACUACACCAUGUAAUAUUAGUUUCAUUCUAAGUGUCAUUUAAAUUCUAGAGCAUUUAGGUUUUGUUUUUGAUAUUUUUUUUCGGUUAAGAUAUUGAUACGCGAAGCAAUUGUUUAGGACGCGUUUCUUUCUCUUAAAUUAUUUUUUUUCACCGCUCUCUAGAAAGUUCGCCGUUUCUCAUAUUUUCUGUGCUCCGGCGGUCGCCGCGUCCUCCUUUCGCGGUCGUCGGAGGCCUGCCUCCUUUUGUCUCCGCUUCUCCUCGUCUCUCCCUGUAGUCUUUUCUGUUUUGCGGCGGAGGGCAGCUAGACGAGUCAACCUCUUCCGGUCCAGAUCCAAAGCUCACGUCGUAGAUCUAGGAGGCUCUCGGUACGGUAAGUGGUGCUUGAGGACGGCGUUCGCCUUGUCGCACUUGUCUCCUCCUCUCGGUUGUGGUCUUUGUCCGGUGAGAUUUUCCAGAUCUCGUUUGGCUCUUCAGGUCAGGCGUCGCGUGGGUCGUCGGUGGUCUCUUCCAAGGGUUCUCCUCCUCCUUCAGUGUGGCUUGUGGCUGUCGUGGGGUUGGGGCUCUUCUCGGAGGUCCGGUCUAGAGCUUUCUGCUCCGGGCUCAAGUUUAGAGUUUUGUUUUCCACCGGUGGUCUCUGGUGGAUUGCGUGGAGGCUUCUGAGGUUGGGUCUCGACUUUCCUCUUGAUUGUCUCCGGUGGCGACGCUAUGUGGUUAGCUUCGGUGCUCCACUUCAAAGCAUGUCUUGCCGGUGGUGUGGCGCUCAUCGCCCCUGUCUUUCCUCCAUGUGCUUCUUGCAGGUACUAUUGCUCUGAUGUGGGUUGUAGUGAUCGUUUUUGAUUAGUGACAGGCUGUCAAUUGGGCAUUUGUGUUGUGCUCUCGUUCGAUGUUAGCUGCUCCGGAGGUGUGUACCCUUCCGGUCCCUUUGUUCUAUAUGAACCUUCGGUUAAAAGGGUGUAUACGGUCACGGUAGGCGGAUUUGGAAGCAGCAAUCUUCGAGUCUUCCUUUCGUACGAAGGCAUCGUCGGAUUGUGUCACUACCUAGUGCCGUCGGUCGUGGUUCGUGUCGGGUGGAGAGUCGGUUUGUGCUUGUGAUUCUUUGGACUGGUUUGUGUUCGGUGGGUCUCUAGGAAGCUGUGAGCACCCUGCGUUCAAGGUUUGAGGAGGCCUUUCUCUCGGGCUCCUUCCUGCUCCGCUCCUGGUUCCCUGGUCUGAGCUUGCCUCAUUGCCUUCUGUUGCUCUGACUUCAUCUCUCACCAUUAAUGUGCUUAUGUUCUUGUACUGAAACUUGUUGUUUAUUUUUCUGCACUUCUACUAGUCAUCUUGUAAUUUCUGUCAAAAACCCAAAAUUUUGGUAUAAUAAAUUUAACAUUUUACCAAAAAAAAAAACAAUUAAGAGUCCUCAUCACUCUAUGGUUCAGGUUGUCUUCCACGACGACACUUUUAGAGCGGAUAACCUCCUUAUUUAGCAAUAUUCUAGUGACCAUAGCCGAUGAGAAUAAAAAGGCAUAUUGUAGUGCCAAGUGUGGCACUUUGUUGGCUCUUAAUCUUAUGGAGAAAGGUGAGCAAGUAGUAUCACAAGUUAAAAAAAACACUUGGAUGAAAGUUUAGUCAAUAGAUUUAAGGUUGAAGAAUACAGAGCCUCAACAAUCCUAAUUAAAUGUAUUUUUAAUAAUUUUAACUUAACUCAUAGUUAAGGAACCCACCAAAUUGAUUUAUGCUUGGAAUCCAUAUAAUUGCAUGGCAAUUCUGGUUGAAACGAUGGUUGUCCUAAUCUACUUGGAUGCUUUCGUUUAGGACCCACACAGUUUGUGUGAUUAACAACUUUAUUGAAUAAAUAUGACAGAACAGAACAAAGUGUAAAGAAAAAAAGAGAGUGACGAAGUCUUUAUAUAAAACUAAGGUUAUCCACCUGAAAAUACACAACUACAUACAUGUAUGUAUAUAUAUAAUUCUCUCCUUAUAUACACACAUGUAUGUACUCGUAUAAAUGUUUAAUUUAAAGUAAAGCUGCCAACAAGUUAAAAAAAACUUUAGUUACAGAUUAUGAGAUUAAAAGACAGUUGUUUCUGUUACAUUACCUCGUAGCAAAUCCAACCAACGGAAACCAAGAUAGCUACAGCCAAAGCGUUAGUGAACUUCCUGUACACAUCCAACUUCACCAACAGCCUCCUCGUCUGAAGCUUCUUGAAAGUAGCCGAAAGCGACUUGAAUAUCCAUAUGAUGAAGAAAGCAUCCAACACCGCAACGGGGAGAACCAAAAACAGUCUCGCUUUCCCUGAGAAGUCACUAACCGCACCAACAUUCUCCAACAGCUCAAGAGUCUCGGAAGCAGCGAAGAAAGUGACACCAAGCAUGAUCACCUUCGAUGUAAACCCACCAAGCGUAGGCCUCACGACACCGUACCCCAUCGAAACCAUAAGGAUGAUGACACGUGCGCACGUGCGUUUGAUAGACCCAAACGUGACUGCCCAUACGGUGAUCACCGUUGGUCUAACACCAGUCUCGUUGAACUCAGCGUAGUCGAAGUACCAAAGCGCCAUCUCGCACAUCCCUAACGUUAUCACUAAAGUUACACAAUUCUGCAAGGGAAGCACUUCUCUCCAGAACCUCGCGCACUGGGAGAACCAGAAGACUCCGAGGAGCACAAAGGCGAGAGACAUGAACCCGUAGAAGUACAUCAGCGGCGCCAUUCUACCUGGUAAGUAUCCUCCAGGGUUUUUCCAGAUGGUUUUGCCUUCAACGACCAAGUCCUUGAGAGCAGGAUCACAGUGGAUGAAGUAGAGGUUAUACAUUCCUGUCCUAGUGAUCUGAAUCGAUCUUGUAAGCAGCGUAGCAGACAAAUCAUUCUCAACAAAGGAAACACCGAAGACUUGAGGCCAGGAGGAGUCUUUAGAAGAAGGAUGGUGGAUGAUCUCUCCGUGUGAGCAAACACCGAGUUUGGCGAGAUCAGAUGUGCAGCAGACAG
rnacentral:lncRNA from 1 species